GGAACAAUGGGAGUCACAACCACGGAGUCAGCCUACCUCCAGCUUCUAGAAAAUUUCUUUUGUAACGAACUUUAGUGUGACUAAAUUUAGUUAAACUGACAUGUUCACUCUGAUUUUUGCAUUUAAUCUCUUAUUCUGGUGUUCUCAAGAGCUCAGCUCUCCAAAUUUCCUCUCUCCUAGGAGACUAUUAACUGAAAAGAAAGGCAGCUAUAUCUCAGUGGUAGAGUGCUUGUCUUAUACACAUGAGGCCCCAGGUUUAACCCCCCAGCAAUGCUUAAAUCAAAGUCAAAAGGACAGCUUAACCUCCUCAAGAAGUCCCCUCCCACCAUGGAUCCAACCCUGAGGGAGCUGAUAGAGAGCUGACAGCUCUCCCAUACAGGAUAGUCACUUACACUUGUGUAGCUUUCCAGAAUUGUGUGUGUGUCCAAGGUUGAUGAGGCAUGCUCCCACACUCCUGCAGCACCAAGUGAGGUUGGAUACCAACGGGACUAGAAUCAGGACUGACUGAAGACUGAAGGAUCUAUUUGUGGGUAAAGAUCAGAGCCUGGGGAGAGCAGGAGAACAUGACUGGAGAAGGCAGGCAGGCAAAAGGCCAAGUUUCCCAAGUGGAAGAAACACAGGCAUGUGGGAGUUGAGUUGAUGAACAACAGCUCUUUUGUUUCUCUACAUUUUCACCUGAGAAAAUAACUUCAGCCUCCUUAGAAAAGAAGGUAGUUCCCCAAUUCUAGACUCUUCACAUUGGAAGGUCAUCUUCUGGUCACCUUGUUCAGCCUGUCACCCCUUCCCAGACUGCCUCAGCAGCUGGAUGCUUGGCUCCUUCUCAAACACCCCAAGGGACGGAUGCUUAUUACUUAGUGAAUCACCUCAUUACUUUCUGGACAAGGCUUGUUUUCAGACAAUUGUCCUUGACAGGAUGUUGUCAUUUGCUUCCCUACAGCUUUUGUUCAUUGAUGACAGUUUUAUCUGACAAUGUCUCAUGAGAAGAUAGUUUUGCUUUCUCAAAUAAGAGUCCUUUCCUGUUUCCAUGAAGGCUUGCCUUUUUGAAGAUCACACACCCUCAGCUCUUCUAGCACGACUGGUUCUCAUCCCUCAUUUGGUCAAGCAAACAUGAAACAUCCAGAUGCAGGACACAGUCUUCUGGAUGGAGGCUGAGCAGCAUGCAGAACAGCAGAGCACUUCCCUCAGUGGAGCUUGACAAGGAACCUGCAACUCCACAGCCCAAGACUGCAUCUGUCUCUUUAGUUCAAUGAGGAAACUUGCCAGCUGGAGAGAGAAGAUGACUUUAUAAACACAAUGCACUAUCGCACUAUCGGAAGAGCUGUACCACUUAAGCAUAAUUAACUCUGGAGAUACAGAUGAAGGAUCUUGGCCCAAAUUAGAAGUUAAGGAAAGGUUCUCAGAAAGAACUGUUGUGAACAGACCCAGAUUCCGUUCCCAUCGCUCGGUGGCUGGAACUUCUAUCCAAGGGGAUCCAUCAUCCUUUUCUGGCCUCCUCCAGCACCAAGCAUGCAUAUGGUGUGCAGACAGAUAUACAUGUAGGCAAAACACUCAUACACAUAAAAUAAUAAUUAAAAAAUCAUUUAGGCUGAAGAUUCAAGCCAGAAUAUUUGAAAUAGCCCUAAAUAUAUUUCUGUCAUGUUGAACUACAUAUUUGUGUGAAGCAGCAUUCUUAGCACUGACAAUUAUAAAAUCAAAAUAUCUAUCAACUCUAAAUAAUGUUGAAGAUGCUGUGCCUCAUGGCUUUAAAAUUCAACCAAGAUUUAAUUCUUUAUGUAAAAAUAAAUAGUGCAUGUCAUUAUCACACAAAUUUGUUUCGUCUUUAAUAAAUAGUAAUAUAUGCAUAGUAAGUAUCUAUACAUAUAUAUCAAAGAAUUAUUUUAUGAUAGAUUUCCUUUCCAAGAUAGAUUUCUUGUA